CUCAUUUUAGUUAGCCGGCCCCGUACACUCCAAUUAGAUCGCAAGCUGGCCGGACCACAGUAUUUGUGGCUUAAAAAUCCAUCAACUAUUCAAAGUUUUCCCCAUUGUUUUGGCGCAAAUAAUUACAAGUACUUUUGGAAAAUAUUCACAUUGUUCAUUAUCUUGAAAUGUUUUUACCCCAAAUUAUUUCAACAGUAUUAUGAAUUCAGUGAGCGUGCACCAUUCAGUUAUGGAUCCUUUGUAAAUGUAUGCAUACAAAUUUAAGUUGUGGCAGUGCAUGGGGGGGAAGGUUCCAGCAAACCAACCUCUUUUGAAGUGAAGCUUUUAACUGAAAUUUUGUAAUAUUCAAUGUCUUAGAACAUUUUUACAGGAGGUAUUUAUUUUCCCAGAAUUGUAGUGUGAACAUGCCACACCAAUUUAUAUUGGUGUGCUCCUGAAACUUGGCAUCGUUUGACCUAUACAAGUGCAUCAGUAUCAUUUAAUUUCAUUUCAAUGGUGAACAUGAGGGGGGCCGUGUACUGAGCUUUGUGGCGCGCCUUGGUUGACUCACUAUAGAAGUUUGUUGUUUAGUAGUGAGUCUGAUUGUAAUGCGGGCGGGCAGGCAGGGAAAAUGUUGGUAGAGCUGCUGGUUGGACAUGUUGGUUGGUUAAGUAGUCUUUGUGAAGGUUGGAGAUGGUCUGCUGGUUGUUUGGCUUUUCUUGGUCCAGAGCAGCUGUUUGUUUUGAGUUGACGUGUACAGUGCGGGCUUUGAACAAGCAAUCCAUCGUAUUGAUCAACGCAAAUGAAACGCGUGCUGUGUUUUCAGGGUGAAGGAGACGAUUGCGAGCAGCACUAAGAGGAACUGGACCAGGGUGCUGUCAGGUCUCACCUUGUACUCUGCGGCGUUCCAGGGGGCGUCGCGCACCACGAAGCCUUUCGCCGGAGUCCCGGUACCAUCUUCCGGCCCCCCCGUGCCGCCGCCGCCGCCUCCCCCGCAGCGCGACGGAGGUUUCAUGUACGCCGCCAACCUCGCGGUCUCUGUCAUGCUGAGCAACUGAAAGAGUCGCGGAGGAGAAAUUGGGAAGCGUGCAAGUCGUUUUUUUUCUUUUCCCCUUCACUUCCUGUCAGCGGAGGCGUUCGUCUCUCACGUAUUCAUCCUCCAGGUUGAGCAGGUGCUCGACGGCGUUGUCGACCGUCUCGGGAAGGCCCGUCACCGUCACUUUGUCAGGUUCGUCGGAGCCAGGCGGAGGAAACCGGAUAUCCACCUGAAAAACCCCACGAGCGUGUUAAAAGAUGCUGUCCGUGGCAAACGUACAACGUGGGAAAUAAUCAUUUCAUUCCCUGGCGAAUUUGAAUUAUUUCCCAUCUGUCCAAGUGUUGCGGCCAGACCUUGAACUCCUCCAUCAGCUUGCGGACGGCUUUGCCGCGGGCGCCGAUGAUGCGGGCGUGCGUCCUGGGGUCCAGGGGCACGUCUUGGCUCACCAUCUCCUGCAACUCGGCCACAAGUUGCCGGAUGGCCUCGCACGCCUCCUCCACGUUCCCCUCGUACCCCGACACCACGAUCAGGUCCUGAGAGAGGGAGGAUGGCAAACAAACAGACGACUCGAGAGAGAUGAAGGUUUUAGCGGUGUGACGUCUUUUUCUCUGCUUUCUGUAAAUCUGUACAACCCAACCUACGCACUCUUUGAGAUGUGGACGAUUUUUCGUCAAAUGUCGGGAGCAAACAUUUUAAUUGCAGGCGCGAGAUGGUGACAUCGAACUUCUCAACAAGCAACAGUUUUAGUUUAAUGUAAAAUGUAACAUUAAACAAAGAGAAUUACAUGUGUAUUUAACCAAAGCAGAUAACUUUGCCCAAUGAACGUCUGCUAGCGUAAUGCUAACACACCAUAGAAGAGCUAACGAAACUAACAUUGAUGUAGCGGUACUUAUAAACCUUUCAACAACUUAUGUAUGGCACUUUGUUACAAAACCGGUUGUUUCUUCAGGUGCUGAAAAAAUAAGUUCCGUAGUUAUCAAAAAACAAUUUUGGCCAUUCCAUUUUAUAUUGGGGGAUUUGUUUUAGCAAUAGUUUUACUGUGAAACAGACACGUUUUAUUAAGAUGUUAUUGUAAUACAUCCAACAGGACGCCAGCGUUUAAUGCUACUCAGCGCCGAGUGUGGCGUGAUCCUCCUGUGUUGACUUUGCCAUACAUAUAGCGCCCCCCACUGGAGAAACCUCCGCCAGCGGCCACUGGGUUCAGCCUGUCUGAUUUUGAUCCACAUCAGUAGGCCACGCACCUGCUGCUCGUCUCCUUUGUCGGGGAACUGGAUGUUGACGUCGUGGUCUUUUCGGAUCUGAGAAACGACCGCCCCCUUGCGACCGAUGAUCUUGGGAUGAAACUUGGGCUCGACCGAUACGGUGGCCUUGAAGCUCCGCAGCGCCUGCGAGGAGAGCACGUGAGAACAUCGCGGGGGGGCUUUUGUGGAAAUGUGUGCGCCCACCCUGUCCUCCUGCUCAGCUUGAAGCUCUUUGGCCCGGCUCAGCAAGCCCCGCUUGGCUCGCUGCACGUUGGCCAGCAGGCCCGUCACCCGGAUCGCGUCCUGCCGCAGCUCGGGCUGCGGCACCCACAUGUUGACCUGCGUACACGCACACAAACGACCUCGGCUUGCAAAAUUCCUGGAAGUUUCAAAGUUGCAAACUGGCCACGGGGAUUUACAUCAAUUAGCAGAAAUAAACCAGACAUUUACAAAACUCAACAGUGGCUCUGAACUUGGGAACCGUUACAUAGUUGGGGAAAAUACAUUUUAGCUUAAUCCUGACUAAAAUAAUCUGAUUUCAUGCUCGUACUGUGGUACCUUCCCAAUCCUUGGUCCAUGUACUAGUACAUUGUUUCAAUCUGUGGAACUCGUACUACUAGCGAAGCACUAGAUGAUACCGAGCACCAGUGUGCCAAGGUUGUCCCACUCGUGAAGAAAAAGAGUGUACUAGCACAUGGCCCGAAAGUUGGACAUCAAAUAAGCCAAAUGCUUGCCAUAAAGAUGUUUCAGCAUUUAUUUUCUAUCCUACAACAUGUAGCUAAUAUUACUCAUUUCAUUCAUAAUUUAGCGCACCAGUAGGAUACGGAAUUAAUGCUGAACUCUUCUGAUGAAGGCAACAGUCGUUUUCCCAAACUUGUGGAGUAAAUGAAAACCUCUCUUUGCUGCCGACUAAAAAGAGACCUCAAUUGUAUAACCUCAUAUUCCUCCAUCAUCUUUCGGAUUCCGCUGCCUUUCUGGCCGAUGAUGUAGCGAUGAAGCUCAUUGGACACCUCCACGUCCUCCGUGAUGGGCACCAAGGCCUGAAGGAAGAGGAUGGGGGAGGAAAAGUAGUUAGUUAGCGUACGUAGCCAGGGACAUGCAGCUUUUUACAUUCAAAUGAACGCGAGCGCCUACCAGCAGGGCAGCUUUGGCCACCUCACACUUCUCGGCUCGCCCCAAGAUGGCGACGACGUCACACUUACGGGGGACGAGCUCCGCAUCUGGACAGACAUGGCCGCUCUCCUGCGGCGAAGCCUUUUGACCUUGACGGACGAUGAUUCAAAAGAGUCAAAUGUAAAAAUACCGUGAAGCGCCGGACUGACGCGAGCCGGUUCGGCACCUGCGUUGGCGUCGUCUCUCUCCGGGAACUUGAUCUGGACCUCGUGCUCGCGGGUGAUGUGCUGAAUGCGGCUGCCUUUGGGCCCCAUGAUGGCGCGGUGGUAGCGCUGAGGGAUCGUCACCUCCACGCUCACCUGGGACUCCUGCUCGGCGUGGGGAGAACAGAAGACAACCACAGGUAACGACAACAUUGUAGAUCAUCAGCGGUGUCAAACUUGUUUGCGUCACGAGCCCCAUGGGACCGCUUGGAACCAGCGCUUGUCCUCAUUAGGGUCGAGGGUGACCUGGAGAAAAUCUCAGAUGACAUUUGGCAAGAGAUCGGGUACACCUUCGGCUGGUUGUACACCUCAAAACUGUGAAGUGGACACGCCAUCCGUGACUCCGCCGUGCUGCUCAGAUCAAAUACCCUCAUCCCUCAUUUAUUCAUCCACACACUCUACACGAGCACAUGCCUACAAAAGGCGGGUGUGCUCUGUUUGAGUGACGUGAACAACAGCCCACGCGGUCUUGGAGUAAACGGGCGAACUUCUGCUUUAAGCAUUAGGCGCUGUGCUCCACAUCGAUGGUCCCAUGUAGGGAGCGCAAAAGCGGAUCCCGCUGCUUCCCAGAAUUCUUUGCGGUGCUCUUUUUAACUACAGUACUGUAGUUGUAGGAAAUCAAGCUAAACAUUGCUCUUUACUUUUGUUCCUCCCCAUACUGUUCUGUGUUCAUUAGCUAUACGUCAGGCUAGGUUGGUAUUUGUAAAUCUAUUUCACAAAACUCUCGACUGUGGCUUGUGUGUCAAACAGUAGCAUUCCGGUCAUGUUCACUUGGUGACUUGCCAAAUGUGUGAGUCAAGGUUUCUUUUUCCUGCAAAGUCAAAGUGGCCAUUUUGUCCUUAUAUGUAACAUUGCUUCCAUAUUGGAGUAAAAAAAAAAAAAAAAAAAAACAUCACAAAUGCACAAUAAGUGAG